GUCGUAACAAGGUCUCCGUAGGUGAACCUGCGGAGGGAUCAUUACACAAAUAUGAAGGCGGGCUGGAACCUCUCGGGGUUACAGCCUUGCUGAAUUAUUCACCCUUGUCUUUUGCGUACUUCUUGUUUCCUUGGUGGGUUCGCCCACCACUAGGACAAACAUAAACCUUUUGUAAUUGCAAUCAGCGUCAGUAACAAAUUAAUAAUUACAACUUUCAACAACGGAUCUCUUGGUUCUGGCAUCGAUGAAGAACGCAGCGAAAUGCGAUAAGUAGUGUGAAUUGCAGAAUUCAGUGAAUCAUCGAAUCUUUGAACGCACAUUGCGCCCUUUGGUAUUCCAAAGGGCAUGCCUGUUCAAGUGUCAUUUGUACCCUCAAGCUUUGCUUGGUGUUGGGCGUCUUGUCUCUAGCUUUGCUGGAGACUCGCCUUAAAGUAAUUGGCAGCCGACCUACUGGUUUCGGAGCGCAGCACAAGUCGCACUCUCUAUCAGCAAAGGUCUAGCAUCCAUUAAGCCUUUUUUNCAACUUUUGACCUCGGAUCAGG
rnacentral:rRNA from 1 species